rnacentral:rRNA from 1 species
ACACAUGCAGGUCGAGGGGCAGCAUCAUUAAAGCUUGCUUUGAUGGAUGGCGACCGGCGCACGGGUGAGUAACACGUAUCCAACCUGCCGACAACACUGGGAUAGCCUUUCGAAAGAAAGAUUAAUACCGGAUGGCAUAGUCUUCCCGCAUGGGAUGACUAUUAAAGAAUUUCGGUUGUCGAUGGGGAUGCGUUCCAUUAGGCAGUUGGCGGGGUAACGGCCCACCAAACCAACGAUGGAUAGGGGUUCUGAGAGGAAGGUCCCCCACAUUGGAACUGAGACACGGUCCAAACUCCUACGGGAGGCAGCAGUGAGGAAUAUUGGUCAAUGGACGAGAGUCUGAACCAGCCAAGUAGCGUGAAGGAUGACUGCCCUAUGGGUUGUAAACUUCUUUUAUACGGGAAUAAAGUGAGCCACGUGUGGCUUUUUGUAUGUACCGUAUGAAUAAGGAUCGGCUAACUCCGUGCCAGCAGCCGCGGUAAUACGGAGGAUCCGAGCGUUAUCCGGAUUUAUUGGGUUUAAAGGGAGCGUAGGCGGGUUGUUAAGUCAGUUGUGAAAGUUUGCGGCUCAACCGUAAAAUUGCAGUUGAUACUGGCGACCUUGAGUGCAACAGAGGUAGGCGGAAUUCGUGGUGUAGCGGUGAAAUGCUUAGAUAUCACGAAGAACUCCGAUUGCGAAGGCAGCUUACUGGAUUGUAACUGACGCUGAUGCUCGAAAGUGUGGGUAUCAAACAGGAUUAGAUACCCUGGUAGUCCACACAGUAAACGAUGAAUACUCGCUGUUGGCGAUAUACGGUCAGCGGCCAAGCGAAAGCAUUAAGUAUUCCACCUGGGG